ensembl:lncRNA
GCAGUGCGUAGUCAUCAGGGACAGAACACAGUCCUGUGGCAUUGCUGGGCGUUGUCCCUGCCGGGACCCUGAUCGGUCCUGCGUGCAGACCACAGAGGCGUCUGUAUCCAGAAUCUCCCAGGAGAAGCUGUGAAGGUGAAGUUGCUCAGUCGUGUCUGAUUCUUUGCGACCCCGUGGACUGUGACCAACUAGGCUCCUCCGUCCAUGGGAUUCUCCAGGCAAGAAUACUGGAGUGGAUUGCCACUUCCUUCUCCAGGGGAUCUUCCCGACUCAGGGAUCGAACCCGGGUCUCCCGCACUGAAGGGAUGUGCUGGCAGGAGGCGGAGCAGCCAUACUGACCUACGAGGUAGCAGCUGAGUGUUGAGGAUGCAGAGAAAAAAGACAGAAAGAGCCUGGGUUGCUAAUGAGUUAUUGGAGAGAGGCAACGCGCCAGCUCAGACUUUUAAGGGC